rnacentral:tRNA from 1 species
AUUUAAAUAGUUUAAUAAAAAUAUUGAUUUGUGGAAUCAGUGAUAUAUAAAUAUAUAUAUAUUUUAAAUA